rnacentral:rRNA from 1 species
UACGAAGGGGGCUAGCGUUGCUCGGAAUCACUGGGCGUAAAGGGUGCGUAGGCGGUCGGAUAAGUUUGAUGUGAAAUCUCCGGGCUUAACCCGGAAACUGCAUUGAAUACUAUUCGGCUUGAGGUCUGGAGGGGGGACUGGAAUUCUCGGUGUAGCAGUGAAAUGCGUAGAUAUCGAGAGGAACACCUGCGGCGAAGGCGGGUUGCUGGGCUGACACUGACGCUGAUGCGCGAAAGCUAGGGGAGCGAACGGG